GACGAACGCUGGCGGCGUGCCUAAUACAUGCAAGUCGAACGCUUUUUCUUUCACCGGAGCUUGCUCCACCGAAAGAAAAAGAGUGGCGAACGGGUGAGUAACACGUGGGUAACCUGCCCAUCAGAAGGGGAUAACACUUGGAAACAGGUGCUAAUACCGUAUAACAAGUAAAACCGCAUGGUUUUACUUUGAAAGGCGCUUUUGCGUCACUGAUGGGUGGACCCGCGGUGCAUUAGCUAGUUGGUGAGGUAACGGCUCACCAAGGCAACGAUGCAUAGCCGACCUGAGAGGGUGAUCGGCCACAUUGGGACUGAGACACGGCCCAAACUCCUACGGGAGGCAGCAGUAGGGAAUCUUCGGCAAUGGACGAAAGUCUGACCGAGCAACGCCGCGUGAGUGAAGAAGGUUUUCGGAUCGUAAAACUCUGUUGUUAGAGAAGAACAAGGAUGAGAGUAAAAUGUUCAUCCCUUGACGGUAUCUAACCAGAAAGCCACGGCUAACUACGUGCCAGCAGCCGCGGUAAUACGUAGGUGGCAAGCGUUGUCCGGAUUUAUUGGGCGUAAAGCGAGCGCAGGCGGUUUCUUAAGUCUGAUGUGAAAGCCCCCGGCUCAACCGGGGAGGGUCAUUGGAAACUGGGAAACUUGAGUGCAGAAGAGGAGAGUGGAAUUCCAUGUGUAGCGGUGAAAUGCGUAGAUAUAUGGAGGAACACCAGUGGCGAAGGCGGCUCUCUGGUCUGUAACUGACGCUGAGGCUCGAAAGCGUGGGGAGCAAACAGG
rnacentral:rRNA from 1 species